UACGAAGGGUGCAAACGUUGCUCGGAAUUAUUGGGCGUAAAGCGCACGUAGGCGGCUUUGCAAGUCCGAUGUGAAAUCUUAUGGCUUAACCAUAAAAGUGCAUCGGAAACUGCAGAGCUUGAGUACUUAAGGGGAUCGCGGAAUUCCCGGUGUAGAGGUGAAAUUCGUAGAUAUCGGGAGGAACACCAGUGGCGAAGGCGGCGAUCUGGGAAGAUACUGACGCUGAGGUGCGAAAGCGUGGGGAGCAAACAGG
rnacentral:rRNA from 1 species